rnacentral:rRNA from 1 species
AUUGAACGCUGGCGGCAUGCUUUACACAUGCAAGUCGAACGGUAACGGGCCUUCGGGUGCCGACGAGUGGCGAACGGGUGAGUAAUGCCUAGGAAUCUGCCUGGUAGUGGGGGACAACGUUUCGAAAGGAACGCUAAUACCGCAUACGUCCUACGGGAGAAAGCAGGGGACCUUCGGGCCUUGCGCUGUCGGAUGAGCCUGCGUAGGAUUAGCUAGUUGGUGAGGUAAAGGCUCACCAAGGCGACGAUCCUUAGCUGGUCUGAGAGGAUGAUCAGCCACACUGAGACUGAGACACGUCCCAGACUCCUACGGGAGGCAGCAGUGGGGAAUAUUGCGCAAUGGGGGCAACCCUGACGCAGCCAUGCCGCGUGUGUGAAGAAGGCCUUCGGGUUGUAAAGCACUUUCAAUGGGGAAGAAAAGCGUACUGUUAAUAGCGGUGCGCCGUGACGUUACCCAUAGAAGAAGCACCGGCUAACUCCGUGCCAGCCGCCGCCGUAA